GAUGAACGCUGGCGGCGUGCCUAAUACAUGCAAGUCGAGCGAACAGACGAGGAGCUUGCUCCUCUGACGUUAGCGGCGGACGGGUGAGUAACACGUGGAUAACCUACCUAUAAGACUGGGAUAACUUCGGGAAACCGGAGCUAAUACCGGAUAAUAUCUUGAACCGCAUGGUUCAAUAGUGAAAGUCGGUUUUGCUGUCACUUAUAGAUGGAUCCGCGCCGAAUUAGCUAGUUGGUAAGGUACCGGCUUACCAAGGCAGCGAUGCGUAGCCGACCUGAGAGGGAGAUCGGACACACUGGAUCGGAGACAGGUUCCAGACUCCCACGGGAGGCAGCCGUCGGGAAGCUUCCGCGAUGGGCGAAAGCCUGACGGAGCAACGGCGCGUGAGUGAUGAAGGUCUUCGGAUCGGAAAACUCUGUUAUUAGGGAAGAACAAAGGUGUAAGUAACUAGGCACGGCUUGACGGUACCUAAUCAGAAAGCCACGGCUAACUACGUG
rnacentral:rRNA from 1 species